ensembl:lncRNA
AUGGCUUCCUUCCCCACUCACUCAUCAUUACCAGACGCAAAGGAAACAACUCAAUCAGGAGAUUCACAACUAGCUGAAGAAUCAACUCAACGCUUCCACAGAACUAAACAGAAAAUUCCAGAACCCAUCAUUCGCUCUAUUGGAACAAAUGGUACAAAUUAUUCUACACCUAUAAUGUCUUUUCUCACUGAUCGGCCACCACAAGAGUCACAAAAAAACACCCAGUCAGGUGCACCACAAUUACUUGAACAUUCAACUCAACAUUUCCAGAGCCCCAAGCACAAAAUGACAGAAUCCAGUCAGACAAUUGGACACCUCAUUGCAAUCACGUCCACCCCAAAUCUGGCCACAACAUACAGAAUUCAACAGGAAACUCUACUACAGUCUGCCAUAGACCCACACAUUCCAAAUAAUGACAUACUUGCAUCAACAAUGGAAAACAACAACCUGCAACCAACUCCACUUCCACAAAUAACAAAGGAUGAAUAUCCCAAAAUGACGCCGUUCAUCAAUAGGUUGGUGCAAAGCAUUUCAAAAUUCACUCCACCUGCAAGGACUAAACAAACAACUUUAUUAACAGUCAAUCCUGAAAUCAUAAAAAAUCCUCCACACACUCUUUCUGUAACCUGGCAAAAUGGGAAACCCAACUGGCUUGUGACAGCCACAGCUUGGAGAGUUUCAAAACGUACGCCACCUACAUUCACAUUGAAGCAGCAAAUCAAACACUCCACUUCACUUCUGCUGACUCCAAAAACUAUAAAGAAAAAUACUCAAAAACCAGCAAAUGAUUCAUUAGUAAGCAGAAAAAUGGCUUCCACUUCACCUCUUCCAAUCCUGAUAGAGAAUCAUUUCGUUGACUCAGAAGGACCAGAGGACACUUCUGUGUCAACAGGCAUUAGUCUACAGGAUUCCACAUCAUUCAGAACCUAUCUGAGUAAUGCAAAAACACAAUCACAGAGUACAACAAACAAAUACACAAUCUUUCGCAAAAUGAUGUCCCAUACAAGUUUUCCGUUAGUAAAGGACACAUCAACUCAAGCUCCCACAGAUGGAGUGCAAUUGUCUCAAACUAUUCCAGUCUCCACAGAAAAGCUUGUUAUGAUGUUCACUCUAAAUCCAAGACCUUCAGAAAAACAUAUUCAUACCACAUCAAUCGUGAGAAAUGGAUUACUAAAAUCAAGAACACAGGAAAUUCUAUCUUUGAUUUCAACAAUACGGUCCAAUAUCCAUCCCACUGAAACAACAGAGUCUCGUUUGGACCCGACAAAUCAACGACCUACAGCAGAUUCAAUGCCAAAGGAAAAUUAUUCCAAUAAUGAUCUGUUAACCGAGAUGGAAAAACCAACGCAAAGCAUGAGUGGGCGCAAACCAAGUUCGACAACUCGUUCAGCUACAACUAGAUUGCACGUGUCAAAAACACAAACUGUUUCACAAAAACCCAAUGACACGAAAGCCCCCAGAGAGAUUUUUGGAUUACUCUUCAGUUUUGGGUGCCUUGUGUUGCUGAUAAUAGUAAUCUUGCUUUGGGUAGUCUGGAAAAAAUGGCAAGCCCGGCACUGGAGGAACAACAUGUGGGUAGCAGGUUCUCCUCUCCCGGGAACAUAUCAUUCAGUCUUGCAGAACAGCAGUUCAUACACUGCAAUACAGAUGAGGAAUAAGUACAGCCAAAAGAAAAAGCAGGAAAAUAGUGAUGUUUCUGAGACCAUUGCUCUCAAGCAACAACACAAAGACCUUGUAUAUACAUGA